rnacentral:rRNA from 1 species
ACGGAAGGUCCGGGCGUUAUCCGGAUUUAUUGGGUUUAAAGGGAGCGUAGGCCGGAGAUUAAGCGUGUUGUGAAAUGUAGAUGCUCAACAUCUGCACUGCAGCGCGAACUGGUUUCCUUGAGUACGCACAAAGUGGGCGGAAUUCGUGGUGUAGCGGUGAAAUGCUUAGAUAUCACGAAGAACUCCGAUUGCGAAGGCAGCUCACUGGAGCGCAACUGACGCUGAAGCUCGAAAGUGCGGGUAUCGAACAG